ensembl:snoRNA SNORD39 Small nucleolar RNA SNORD55/SNORD39
UGUGUAUGAUGACACCUUGGUAAUGCUGCACAUUCCAGACUGAGUAGUGGGGAAGCCAACCUUAAAAAAAAAAAAAAAAGAAUUCA